UUUGUACCUUCAAUAAAAUUAAUGUAAAAAUAAAAUGAUGGUGGCUUUGAUAUUUUGGGAUCACCCCUGUUUCACAUUAUGAUUGCCCCUUCAGUUAUACUGUUGAAAAAUUUGAAUCUCAGACAUUAAUGGGUCAAGUGGUUAUAGUUGGAAGUAGUGCAAACCUGGAUUUAUUUUAAGCAAUUUUUGGACAUAUCUUGUUUUAAAUGUUAGGGAGCAUAUUUUGGAAUUUUCAAAGAAAACAUUUAUCUAAGUGUGACAAGAUUCAGGAAAUGUUUGGUUGUUGUAAUUGAACCUAAAGAUCAAUGACCUGGGACAGGAGAUAAAACAAAAGAAACAUGAUAGUAAAAAGGUUCAGAGUCAGCUUGUAAGCAAGUUUGCAAGACUGUUCCAAACUACAAGAAGAUGGCAAUCCAGCUUUGCUGUGUUUUAUCAUAGUAUAUCAUUGGCAUCCAGGCAUCGAUUAAGGAAGCCAACUGUAGACCAGGAAAGGCUUCAAGGAAUAUACUACAGAAUUGUAUCCUGGAGCAUUUUCCACAUGUGACCCCUGUGAUGGUGAGGGAAAAACUAAGGGACAUUUAAAAAUCAUGAAGAGUGAACAGGAAUUCAAAAGAUAGAUAUUUGAAUACAUUAAAAUUUAACCGGAUUCCAAAAUAUUAUAACUGAACAUUUGAGUGUAAUAUUUACCAUUAAAGACUUCUAACUUAA